rnacentral:rRNA from 1 species
AACGAACGCUGGCGGCAUGCCUAACACAUGCAAGUCGAACGAGACCUUCGGGUCUAGUGGCGCACGGGUGCGUAACGCGUGGGAACCUGCCUUUAGGUUCGGCCUACCUCAGAGAAAUUUGAGCUAAUACCGGAUGGUGUCUUCGGACCAAAGAUUUAUCGCCUGUAGAUGGGCCCGCGUUGGAUUAGCUAGUUGGUGGGGUAAAGGCCUACCAAGGCGACGAUCCAUAGCUGGUCUGAGAGGAUGAUCAGCCACACUGGGACUGGGACACGGCCCAGACUCCUACGGGAGGCAGCAGUGGGGAACAUUGGACAAUGGGCGAAAGCCUGAUCCAGCGAUGCCGCGUGAGUGAUGAAGGCCUUAGGGUUGUAAAGCUCUUGUACCCGAGAUGAUAAUGACAGUAUCGGGAGAAUAAGCUCCGGCUAACUCCGUG